ensembl:lncRNA
AGAGGAAUGUGGUCCUUGGAAAAGCGAGGCUUAAAUGUUAAGUAAAUAUAGUAAAGGAAGGGAACUUCACUAAGGAAAGAAAAGCUGGUAACAGAGCGAAUUCAACCUCUUCUCCCCACUGAUAAAAACUGGCAUAGAUGUAUCUUUUUCUCUGAUCUUUUUUCUCUUUGAUCUUUUCUCCCUUUUCUUUCCUUCCCUUCUCCUCCUAGAUGGAGAGGAGCGGUGGAAUGAACAUCAGGCUGAAGAAGACUGGGCUGAGCUAGGAAGACUCAAUUAAAAUGGGAAGCUGAGGAUUACAGGCAUCAUGACAUCCCAGCCUGGCCACUGGCACCCCAGGCUGGCUGCACAGGGAUUUUCAGCAGCACAGCAUCUGUUUUCAGGGUCCUGGGCAGUAUCGCUAAGUCACGGAAGUUCGUCUUAGAAGCUCUCACUCUUUCCGGUAUUCUAAAAUCCUUUGCCUUAAACAUCUGCCCUUUCCUAAAGUCCCCUCCUUCCAAAAUGAUUCCUACCGUCUUCUACUUCCCAAGGAAAAACGUAUUCACUGAGACCUAAUUACUGCCAAGACAUAAGAACCUUGAUUUGACAGUUGGUGAAGCACGAUGUGCAAAUACGGACCCAUAAACAGAUAUUGAUUCAGCUGAACUAAUUCAAGCAAGAGAAAACUCUUCAAUAUCCUACAAAUAUGGCUAAUGCAAUAGAGCUCUCCGAAAAAUAAGCUUCACAGAACUCAACAUCUGGCCUCCCAUUUUAUUCCUCAAAUAUAAAACCCGCUGCAAAAGUGAAAUUAGAGCAUACACAAAAGUCUAAUUUCUCUAGGUGUGAUUUAAGUUUGUUUUGUUUUAAAGAAAGGUCAUCUUGUUUCUUCUGUUUCACUGGCCUUGAGAAGCAGCAGACUAUCCCAGCGCACAAGAAAUUAAUUACCCUGGAGGACCAGGUGCAACCAGUUAGCCAGUUGCCAUGGAGACAAAAUCGCUACAUCCCGGAUUUUCCAGGAUGGUCUCUAUUUCAUGAAAUCUUAUUCUUUUCAAUAAAGGCCAUUCAUAAGAAUGCAAAUAUAAGUGUGAUUUGCUUACUUUCAUGUGUGCAUUAAUGCACAAACAGAAGAAAAUACUUUGCCAAAUAAUGAACCCUCAUCUUUGUCAAGAAAAUUUGAUAGGUAUGAUUUGAGUGAAUUAGUUAAAAAAAAAAAAAGCAAAGUAAAUAAAUCCAAAGCACUUUAAAAUACUGUUGGAAAAACGAAAACCAGCUUUCCUGGAGUCCUCGGCACUUGAAGAAUGGUGCUGCUAUGGCUAGUAUGAGUCCAAGGUCAGCCCAACGUGAGAGAUACAACAGCUCUCAUCUGAGAAUUUGUAGCAAAUUCCGUUCAAAUUAGUUUGCUUUCAGUUCUUCCGAAGGAAACUCAACACAGAGCUACGUCACUACCUAACUUUAGGGUAUUAUCAAUCAACCAAAAUGGUAGUAUGUUUUCCUUUAAAAAAGACGUUGGCAUUCAUUAUUUGAACAGUUUUCGAGUUAUUCCAUAUAACUGGAGUUUUGUUCAUUGUAAGGUGCCAAAGUUGGUCUCUUGGUGUUGACAAAGUUACCCUGGUAAUUAAUGUAAAAUGUUAACACUGAGGGAAACUAUGCGUGUGGGGAGGAGGAGAUGUGGGAACUCUGCAUUGGCUUUGCAAUUUUUCUGUAAUUCUAAAAUUAUUCCAAAAUAAAGAGUUCACUAACAAGUAAUUUGUGGUCAUUAAUUGGAAGAGAUUAAUUAAUUAAUUGUAGUGGAUACUGAUAUGUGCUGUAUUGAUUGUAUUGGGUAGGCAAUGGAAAUAAUUUGGGGAAAUUUUGGAAAUCUCUCUUUACUUUGGAAUUUCAUACUGAAUUUUAAGCAUUUUCCAAUUCAUAAUCCAAACCUACAAUUUUUGGACUGUUUUUACCAUCGAUUGCAUCCUCUACAACUUUAGAAAUGUCACAAAUUCAUUUUGAACAAAUCAUCGUGGAGAUUUAAGUGGCAGCAUUAGCCAUCUUUGGAGUACUAAAUUUCUUAACUCAAAUAUCUGAUACACUAAUCUUGUACAUAAUUUACUAGAGGCAAAAUAUUUCCAUAUUGUUCUUUUGUUAAGCCAAUGCCUUUUGAUAUUUGAG